rnacentral:rRNA from 1 species
AACGAACGCUGGCGGCAGGCCUAACACAUGCAAGUCGAACGCCGUAGCAAUACGGAGUGGCAGACGGGUGAGUAACGCGUGGGAACAUACCCCUCGGUUCGGAAUAACUUAGGGAAACUUGAGCUAAUACCGGAUACGUCCGAGGUUUUAACCGGCCUCGGAGAAAGAUUUAUCGCCGGAGGAUUGGCCCGCGUCUGAUUAGCUUGUUGGUGAGGUAAUGGCUCACCAAGGCGACGAUCAGUAGCUGGUCUGAGAGGAUGAUCAGCCACAUUGGGACUGAGACACGGCCCAAACUCCUACGGGAGGCAGCAGUGGGGAAUAUUGGACAAUGGGCGAAAGCCUGAUCCAGCCAUGCCGCGUGAGUGAUGAAGGCCUUAGGGUUGUAAAGCUCUUUUACCCGGGAAGAUAAUGACGGUACCGGGAGAAUAAGCCCCGGCUAACUUCGUGCCAGCAGCCGCUGUAAC